rnacentral:rRNA from 1 species
GACGAACGCUGGCGGCGUGCUUAACACAUGCAAGUCGAGCGAGACCCAACCUUUCGGGGUUGUGUUCUAGCGGCGAACGGGUGAGUAACACGUGGGCAACCUGCCCUCAGCUCUGGGAUAACUCCAAGAAAUUGGGGCUAAUACCGGAUAUGACCGCUGACCGCAUGGUCUGGUGGUGGAAAGAUUUAUCGGCUGGGGAUGGGCCCGCGGCCUAUCAGCUUGUUGGUGGGGUAGUGGCCUACCAAGGCGACGACGGGUAGCCGGCCUGAGAGGGUGACCGGCCACACUGGGACUGAGACACGGCCCAGACUCCUACGGGAGGCAGCAGUGGGGAAUAUUGCGCAAUGGGCGAAAGCCUGACGCAGCGACGCCGCGUGGGGGAUGACGGCCUUCGGGUUGUAAACCUCUUUCAGCAGGGACGAAGCGAAAGUGACGGUACCUGCAGAAGAAGCACCGGCCAACUACGUGC